GUGCGGAUACAGCCAGAGGGCUGCUACCUACAAAACAGGAAGUGGGGUUCUCAUCAGACACCAAAUCUGAUGGCACCUUGAACUUGGACUUCCCAGCUUCCAGAACUAUAAGAAAUCAGUGGGAAUACUUAUCGUCGUUCCAUGUAGGAGAAAAAAGGAAGAUGACAAUAAAAACCAUAUGGAGGCCUCUUCUCAGUCUGAAACCCUUUGAUCUUUUCUCCAAACGGAAGAAAGCAACCUUUCCAUUCUUAAAGCAUUCUAAAUGUCUUCCAGCCUCCAGAUGAACAAAUGUCUCAGCUUCCAAACAAGUCAUGAGCCGAUUGAUGCCAGAAUCUGGAUCAGAGAAUAAGAACGAAAAAGAAGUGGCUGAGGUUUCAGUAUCUCAAAGAAAUGUGUGAGAAUGUUGCUGGAAAAAGAAAACAGCUUUACUAAAGAAGUUGGUUGCUGAAAAAGGAAAGAGCCACUGAACAAAAGAGG
rnacentral:lncRNA from 1 species